GUGAGGAAUAUUGGACAAUGGGCGCAAGCCUGAUCCAGCCAUGCCGCGUGCAGGAAGACGCAUCUAUGGUGUGUAAACUGCUUUUGUACGGGAAGAAACACUCCCUCGUGAGGGAGCUUGACGGUACCGUAAGAAUAAGGAUCGGCUAACUCCGUGCCAGCAGCCGCGGUAAUACGGAGGAUCCAAGCGUUAUCCGGAAUCAUUGGGUUUAAAGGGUCCGUAGGCGGUUUAAUAAGUCAGUGGUGAAAGCCCAUCGCUCAACGCUGGAACUGCCAUUGAUACUGUUAGACUUGAAGUACAAGGAAGUAACUAGAAGAUGUAGUGUAGCGGUGAAAUGCUUAGAUAUUACAUGGAAUACCAAUUGCGAAGGCAGGUUACUACUUGUAGAUUGACGCUGAUGGACGAAAGCGUUGGGAGCGAACAGGAUUAGAAACCCGGGUAGUCC
rnacentral:rRNA from 1 species